UACGAAGGGGGCUAGCGUUGCUCGGAAUUACUGGGCGUAAAGGGCGCGUAGGCGGCCGAUCAAGUCAGGCGUGAAAUUCCCGGGCUCAACCUGGGGGCUGCGCUUGAGACUGGUUGGCUAGAGGCCGAGAGAGGGUGGUGGAAUUCCCAGUGUAGAGGUGAAAUUCGUAGAUAUUGGGAAGAACACCGGUGGCGAAGGCGGCCACCUGGCUCGGUACGUGACGCUGAGGCGCGACAGCGUGGGGAGCAAACGAGGAUUAGA
rnacentral:rRNA from 1 species